GGCUGUUGACUGGUUUACUUGCUUUUUUACGAAUAUUUGAACUUUUCCUAUCUACAUUUUUAAGGGCGUCGUUCAUAUCUCAUCCUAAAAUUAUUGUACCUAUUGCGUUUUUGUUUAAAAAGUCAUUUAAUUUUUUGUAGAAGCUAUUUCUUUCAGAUUCUAUAUUUGGGGCAUAUAUGUUUAUAAGAGAAUAUAUUAUAUUUUCAAAUUCAAUAUUUAUCAUAAUUAUUCGACCUUCUAAAUCUUUAUGCUCGUCUAUUAAUUUAUAGUCUAGUUUGUUAUUAAUUAAUAUUGCUACUCCUCUGCUGGAAGUCGUUCCGUGACUAUAAUAACAAGAAUGAUCUGAUUCUAUUGUUAGAGCGUUUUCUAGGGAUGUAUUGAAAUGAGUUUCUUGAAUAAAAGAUAUUUUACAUUUCUGAUUUUUUAUUCAUUGAUACAGUCUCAAUCUCUUUUGUUUAUCUCGAAGUCCUUUAACAUUUGCUGUACAAAUGUGUAGGUUAUUUAGCAUAUUUAGAUUAAAAGUUGUUCGAUUUUCUUAUUACGUUUACUUAGUGAGCGUACUUUACGUUUGGGUAACAUUUUUAAGGUAAACAUUAUUUCGCCUAUUUUUUUUUUAUCGCUUUUUUUAACGUGGGAGUUACUGUAAAAAUAAUUACUUUAGCCAAUUUUCUUUUUUGUAAUUGGAUUAUAACAAUAUUGUUAUAGUCUAUUUCACGAUUGUGUUUUGAUCGAUAUUUAGAUGUUAAUUUUGAA
rnacentral:lncRNA from 1 species